CACCGCCCGUCGCUACUACCAAUUGAAUAGUUUAGUGAAAUCGUUAGAUUGGUGUCGUUGUAAUGGCUUUACUGUUCGACUGAUGCUGAGAAGAUGAUGUAAUUUGAAUAUUUAAAGGAAAUAAAAGUUGUAACAAGGUUUCCGUAGGUGAGCCUGUGGAAC
rfam:Schistosoma haematobium scaffold545_10, whole genome shotgun sequence.